AUGCGCCUGGUCAUCCUGGUCAAGCGUGUGGCAACAGACAAGCUCGUAUUUGGAACUGGGAUCACUUUUUCAGUUGAGCCAAGUAAUCAAGAAGAAUCUGCCCCAGAAGUCAUUCUGCUUAAAUCAAAGGAAACCAAACAAUAUGACAACAAACUAAACAUGGCUUGUUUGGCAAGGACUUUCUACCCUAAGAAUAUCAGCCUUUAUGUGCCCAAAAGUGACACCGUAUAUGAUCUGAAGGCACCUCUUGUCACAUCUGAGGGAAUGUAUAGUACCAUGAAAGCAGUUAGAGUGGAACCAGAUGCAAAGGUGAUCUGCAAGGCUAUGCACAAGGGGAACAGGACUACAGCCAGCAUCAUUCUGCCAGAAGAGAAAACUGAAGAAUUUGAAAGAGUUAAUGCUUGCAACGUUACAGAUGCCUCUACAAAAGAUGUCAAAAUGGAGAAAGUGAAUAUGCUGUUCAUGACUGUUUUGGGUUUGAGAGUCCUGCUGGCAAAAACCAUCACCUUCAGUGUAAUCCUGAGUAUCAAGCUGUUUACUAGUUCAGAGCAUCUCAGGUUCUAUCAGAAGUCUUCUGCUGAAUUUUUCAAGUGGCAGAGCACAAAGUCUGGAUAA